UGGGUGAGUUUAAGAGUUGUAGAUAUUUUGGAUGUUUCAGCUCUUUAACUUUCCAGG
rnacentral:pre_miRNA from 1 species